rnacentral:lncRNA from 1 species
AGGGACCCCUGAGGCAUGCUGGGGGAUGCAGUUCCCCCAUACACAAUACUUUAAAACCCACACUACUAAUGCACUUGAGCAUAGUUUAUUAGAAUAUGCAUUGGCAUCAAGUCAAGAGCCCUGAGUUCAAUUGCCAAUUCUGUGGCUUAUUAGUUAUGUAAGCUUGGGCAAGCCACCCGGGAAGCUGGGUAUCAAUUACAGCAUUUAUCAACUUAGGAGGUUAGGUUAGAUGAUAAGGGAAUUGAGGGGAAAUGGAUUCUGAGUCAGGAAGACCCGAGUUCAGACCUGCCUCAGGUCUGAGCCAGCAGAGCCCAAGUUAAUGAGAUUUUUUUCUGUCCAUUUGGGAGCCAAAGAUGAGCUCCUCUCCGGCGCCAGAAUUCCAUUUUCUGCAUCUGAGAAUCUAUCGGAAGUGGCUGGAUCCAUGCUAUGGACCUCCCCAUCGCCACCUUCCCUCCCCAAAAAGGAAAGCUACUGAAGGCUGGAAUGGCUUCAUUUUCAUCUUUAUCCCUAAUUCCUUGUCCAGUCCCUGGCAUACAAUCGGUGGUUCAUAA